rnacentral:rRNA from 1 species
GACGAACGCUGGCGGCGUGCUUAACACAUGCAAGUCGAACGGAAAGGUCCUGCGUUUGCGGGGUUCUCGAUUGGCGAACGGGGGAGUAACACGUGAGUAACCUGCCCCUGACUUUGGGAUAACAUUAGGAAACUGGGGCGAAUACCGGGUAUGAGCUCUAGCUGCAUGGUGGUGUUUGGAAAGAUUCGGCGGUUGGGGAUGGACUCGAGGGUUAUCAGCUUGUUGGUGGGGUAGUGGCGUAACAAGGCUUUGACGGGUAGCCGGCAUGAGGGGGUUACCGGCCACAUUGGGACUGAGAUACGGCCCAGACUCCUACGGGAGGCAGCAGUGGGGAAUAUUGCACAAUGGGCGGAAGCCUGAUGCAGCAACGCCGCGUGCGGGAUGACGGCCUUCGGGUUGUAAACCGCUUUCGCCUGUGACGAAGCGUGAGUGAGGGUAAUGGGUAAAGAAGCACCGGCUAACUCCGUG